AGUACAUACUAAUCUUUCCAAUGGGGACCAUACAAGCACCACAUUAUGCCAAAACAACGGCAUGCAAUUACCUCUGAUCGAUGAAUUCGGCCAAGGUCUUCCACAGUUUCCAACAUUGUGUGAAGAUGAUCUGCAAAGCAUUGUUCAGAUGGGGUUUGGUCAAGAACCCAAACCACAAUACAGGAUUUCAAUCAUCCCACAUGAAAAUUGAACUGUGGUCACCAUUGAUUUGUCCUCAACUCAAGGCCCAGAGGCUGCUGUAUAUUAAUGGAUUUUUUUUUACGAGAAAUGUUAAAAAAAAAUCUUGAUGCUU